UAAUGUAUGGGGAUCUGCCUGAUGGCGGGGGAUAACUACUGGAAACGGUAGCUAAUACCGCAUAAUGUCUGCGGACCAAAGCGGGGGACCUUAGGGCCUCUUGCCAUCGGAUGUGCCCAGAUGGGAUUAGCUAGUAGGUGGGGUAAUGGCUCACCUAGGCGACGAUCCCUAGCUGGUCUGAGAGGAUGACCAGCCACACUGGAACUGAGACACGGUCCAG
rnacentral:rRNA from 1 species